AAAGUCGUAACAAGGUUUCCGUAGGUGAACCUGCGGAAGGAUCAUUAACACGUUAUCCACGUAUUCUCUUAUCAACAACACUACGAACUAUGCUCCCUGUUAGAAGACCUCAAGGGUUCCCGUGUGUGACUAUUGUGGGCUUGUUGGGUUUCGACCUGAUGAGCACGUCAUGCCGAAGGGAUGGAUUGAUACGCCCGAGCGGAGCGCAAACCCGAGAAACUUUCUAACAGAUCAUUGAUUCCCUUGUCCGUGGCGGAAGCCAAUCCCAACCCCAUUGGGCGACGAGGCGACACCAUACCCCUUUCACCCUAUUUUACUAAUUUGACUAAUUAUACAUUUGUCGGGAGAAAUCCUGAUGAAUUCUAAGAUUUAUCUUAACUAAGCACAACUCUUAGCAAUGGAUAUCUUGGUUCUC
rnacentral:misc_RNA from 1 species